rnacentral:rRNA from 1 species
ACGCUUGAAGUCAGUCGCGUUGUCCAGAAAUCAACCUUGGUUCUCCUGGGUGUACUUUCUGGUUAACGGGUCAGCAUCAGUUUUGACCGAUGGAGAAAGUCCAAGGGAAUGUGGCAUCUUCGGAUGUGUUAUAGCCCUUGGUCAUAUGCAUCGAUUGGGACUGAGGAAUUCAGCACGCCGCAAGGCCGGGGUUCGCCCACGUACGUGCUUAGGAUGCUGGCAUAAUGGCUUUAAUCGACCCGUCUUGAAACACGGACCAAGGAGUC